rnacentral:rRNA from 1 species
CGGGAGUGGCAAGCGUUAUCCGGAAUUAUUGGGCGUAAAGCGUCCGCAGGCGGUUUUACAAGUCUGUCGUUAAAGCGUGGAGCUCAACUCCAUUUCAGCGAUGGAAACUGUAAGACUCGAGUGUGGUAGGGGCAGAGGGAAUUCCCGGUGUAGCGGUGAAAUGCGUAGAUAUCGGGAAGAACACCAGUGGCGAAAGCGCUCUGCUGGGCCAUAACUGACGCUCAUGGACGAAAGCCGGGGGAGCGAAAGGGAUUAGAUACCCCUGUAGUCCUGGCCGUAAACGAUGAACACUAGGUGUCGGGGGAAUCGACCCCCUCGGUGUCGUAGCCAACGCGUUAAGUGUUCCGCCUGGGGAGUACGCACGCAAGUGUGAAACUCAAAGGAAUUGACGGGGGCCCGCACAAGCGGUGGAGUAUGUGGUUUAAUUCGAUGCAACGCGAAGAACCUUACCAGGGCUUGACAUCCUGCGAAUCCCUUGGAAACGAGGGAGUGCCUUCGGGAGCGCAGAGACAGGUGGUGCAUGGCUGUCGUCAGCUCGUGUCGUGAGAUGUUGGGUUAAGUCCCGCAACGAGCGCAACCCACGUCUUUAGUUGCCAGCAUUUAGUUGGGCACUCUAGAGAGACCGCCGGUGAUAAACCGGAGGAAGGUGUGGAUGACGUCAAGUCAUCAUGCCCCUUACAUCCUGGGCUACACACGUACUACAAUGCUACGGACAAAGGGCAGCAAACUCGCGAGAGCUAGCAAAUCCCAUAAACCGUGGCUCAGUUCAGAUCGUAGGCUGCAACUCGCCUACGUGAAGGAGGAAUCGCUAGUAAUCGCAGGUCAGCAUACUGCGGUGAAUACGU